rnacentral:rRNA from 1 species
AUUAGCAAAGCUAUACCAAAAAUAGGUUCACGUAAGAAAGUGCCUAUUAGUUUGCGUAGGAAUGCCCGUUUUAGUUUACGAAAGAGUGCACGUAGAAUAACAAAAGGGGUUAUUCAUGUGAAAGCCAGUUUCAACAAUACCGAAAUCAUAACAUUAACAUUUCUAUAUUCGAAUUUGAGAUAUAUAUAUACCGGACCUGAGUAG